rnacentral:lncRNA from 1 species
GAAUGCUGGUGGUGGAUCCUUUCUCAGGAUUCCAUUACCUGCAUUUGGGAGGAACUUGAUUUAAUCCACGCGAGCUCUGGUUUUGUGUCGGUAGGAUGGCAAUGCGUGAGCUUCCAUAAGGUAUUGAGAUUUAAGGUUUAUACCCAAUUUCAGAGAGAUGCUGUGGCUUCCCCGACUCCUGGGUUUUCAAACACAAAGAUUGGUUUUAUUUUGAAUCUCUUAAUCUGUUUUCUAAACUGAAGGCUAGGAGCACAAGAAGGCUGCGAGAGACCAGCAUGAAGAGCAAACUGUAACCUAGAGGAAUGAGGGGGGUUUGCAAAGCAGCUGAAGAAAUGAAAUGUAAAUGCAAGGUUUCUUGUGAGAUGGGGUGAAAAACAACUUAAUCUGCAAGGGUGAGGUGGGGUAAAAAAUGACUUAUUCCUAGGCCUGUAGGAGGGAGGGAUAAGAUGUGCCUGAACAGCAGCUGCUCAUCUAAAGGAAAAAGGAAUAUAUUACAGGAAAUGGCAAGUGCUGCCUGUUAUUUACUGUUUUCUAUUGGAGGUCCUGCUUUUGGUUGCUUUGACUUGCCAAGGGAAUGGUCUGCAAAUGUCCUUUGCCUUAUGGCUGGCCUUCAAGUUCGGGCAGAACCGAUGCACCCGUUUUGGUGAAGAGGAAGCCAGGAGGUAUUGCCCUGUCCAAAACUUCACAGCUUGGUCGGCUCCCUCCUUGAAUGGCAUCGUAGUAUCUGCAGGAUUUGCUUCAUCAGACCUGCCACCUUGUCUUCCCAUGGAAAGCCAUCGGCACCUGACUGCUCUAAACCUUCUCACUUCCAUUUUGCUGUGCUCUGUGACGAGCCCCGAUGGAGGAGAGGAAGACUUGGAGCCUUGAUACCCCUCCUGGGUACCACCCCCCUCAGUCUGGGGGAGGGGGGAGCUGUUGGCACGUCCAGGGAGAGAGAGGAUCCAUCCAGAGGAAAGGAUUUGCUGGGAUGCAUUGGUGCUGUUCAACAGCCUCGUUGGUGACACGGGCGGUGGGAUUGAGUGCACCCUCGGUGAGUUUGCCAACAACUCCAAGCUGUGUGGGGCAGUGACACGCUGGAGGGAAGGGAUGUCAUCCAGAGGGACCUGAAGGGGCUGGAGAUGGGACCAUGUGAACAUUGUGAAGUUCAAGAAAGCUAAGGGCAGGGUCCUGCACCUGGGUCGGGGCAAUGCCCAGCACAACCCCGGGUUGGGGGGAAUGGCUGGAGAGCAGCCCUGAGGAGAAGGACCUGGGGGUGUUGGGGGGUGAGAAGCUCCACAUUGAGCUGGC